CUACGGGCCGCACCAGUAAGGAAUAUUGCGCAAUGGAGGCAACUCUGACGCAGCCAUGCCGCGUGCAGGAAGAAGGCCUUAUGGGUCGUAAACUGCUUUUAUUUAGGAAUAAACCCCCGAACGUGUUCGGGGCUGAAGGUACUAAACGAAUAAGCACCGGCUAACUCCGUGCCAGCAGCCGCGGGUAAUACGGAGGGUGCAAGCGUUAUCCGGAUUUAUUGGGUUUAAAGGGUGCGCAGGCGGGCGAUUAAGUCAGUGGUGAAAUCCCGGGGCUCAACUCCGGAACUGCCAUUGAUACUGAUAGUCUUGAGUUUGGUUGAAGUGGGCGGAAUGUAGCAUGUAGCGGUGAAAUGCAUAGAUAUGCUACAGAACACCAAUCGCGAAGGCAGCUCACUAAGCCAAAACUGACGCUCAUGCACGAAAGCGUGGGGAUCAAACAGGAUUAGAUACCCGGGUAGUC
rnacentral:rRNA from 1 species